UUCCCUGUAGCGCAAUGAAUAGCGCGUUGGACAUCUAAUUCCAAAGGUCGUGGGUUUGAAUCCUACCUGGGAUG